CACGAACUCUGGCGGCAUGCCUAACACAUGCAAGUCGAACGAGACCUUCGGGUCUAGUGGCGCACGGGUGCGUAACGCGUGGGAACCUGCCCUUAGGUUCGGAAUAACUCCCCGAAAGGGGUGCUAAUACCGGAUAAUGUCUUCGGACCAAAGAUUUAUCGCCUUUGGAUGGGCCCGCGUUGGAUUAGCUAGUUGGUAGGGUAAAAGCCUACCAAGGCGACGAUCCAUAGCUGGUCUGAGAGGAUGAUCAGCCACACUGGGACUGAGACACGGCCCAGACUCCUACGGGAGGCAGCAGUGGGGAAUAUUGGACAAUGGGCGAAAGCCUGAUCCAGCAAUGCCGCGUGAGUGAUGAAGGCCUUAGGGUUGUAAAGCUCUUUUACCCGGGAUGAUAAUGACAGUACCGGGAGAAUAAGCUCCGGCUAACUCCGUG
rnacentral:rRNA from 1 species